GACAGAGGGUGCAACCGUUGUUCGGAAUUACUGGGCGUAAAGGGCGCGUAGGCGGCCUUCUAAGUCGAACGUGAAAUCCCUGGGCUCAACCCAGGAACUGCGUCCGAUACUGGAAGGCUUGAAUCCGGGAGAGGGAUGCGGAAUUCCAGGUGUAGCGGUGAAAUGCGUAGAUAUCUGGAGGAAUACCGGUGGCGAAGGCGGCAUCCUGGACCGAGAUUGACACUGAUGAGCGAAAGCUAGGGGAGCAAACGGG
rnacentral:rRNA from 1 species